rnacentral:rRNA from 1 species
AUGGCCUUGCCUGAAAACGUUGAUCCUUACCUUAGAAGGUUGGAAGAAAUCGAAAACAACGUUAGAAGCUUUAUGACUUUACAAUUUGAGCAUAAUAAUUUCUUUAGAAACGAGUUUAAAGAACAAAAAAGCUUUAUGGGAUACAUGAAUAAAGAGCUUGAUGAUAUGUCUAAGGAAUUUUAUGGCUUGAAAUCUCAGUUUGCUUGUCUUGAAAACUUAAUAGCCCAAAUUUCGGAUAAGCAAGCCACCUUAGUCAAUAAGAUGGCCGCCAAACCAGAAGGGUUAGAAGGAAAUAAUGAUGAAGAUCUAAAAGUGAUUGAUGUGUCCCCUAUUAAUUAA